UACGUAGGUGGCAAGCGUUGUCCGGAAUUAUUGGGCGUAAAGCGCGCGCAGGUGGUUUCUUAGGUCUGAUGUGAAAGCCCACGGCUCAACCGUGGAGGGUCAUUGGAAACUGGGGAACUUGAGUGCAGAAGAGGAAAGUGGAAUUCCAAGUGUAGCGGUGAAAUGCGUAGAGAUUUGGAGGAACACCAGUGGCGAAGGCGACUUUCUGGUCUGUAACUGACACUGAGGCGCGAAAGCGUGGGGAGCAAACAGG
rnacentral:rRNA from 1 species